rnacentral:lncRNA from 1 species
AUGCUACCGUGUUUUUUUACUUUUCACGCCAUUCGUACGUUUUGUACGAUAAGAGUUGACGUGCUGACGUGUUGUAAACGUGCUAAACAGGUUGGAGGGUUGCAGUAAAUUGAUCGCAAAUGGGUUGGCUGGUCGACCUAUUCAGUUAAAUGGAUUGACGGAUCAACCCCGCCCAACUUGUAUAAUUGAACAUGUUAACCAGAUCAAUCGAGCACGACUCGUUUAGAUAAGACACUACAAAACUUUUUUGAGUCUUUGAAGAGGAGGUUUUUGUGGUUAUCAUAAGGUUCAUGUCUUGGUAUUGUUAUGAAGGUUGUAUCAGUAUGUCUAAAAUGGUAUGCUUGUUGUAUUCUCUUUUGGGCUUUUAAAAAGCCCACAUUGACAAAAAAAUGGGUACUUAAAUCUUGAUUAGUAUGUUUUGGGCCGCGUGUAAUUCCAGUUUUUUUAAUUAUAAUAAAAUAAUAAAAGUAUUAUAAAAAGCUAUAUAUUAUUAUAUAAUUAAAUUAAAUUUACUAUUCAUUUUUUAUGUAUAUAUAUGUAUAUAUAUAUAUAUAUGUAUAUAUAAUAAUCCUUGUUUUGAUAUACAUAUAGAAGUAGUAGUCGAAUACCAAUUCCCUACGUAACCAAAGUCAAUUGUGUACUAAGCAGCCAUAUAUGACUUUAUUAUGUGGGCCAGAGUAAACAAAUAUAAUCAAGUUGUGUGCGUGUUAAACGGGUUAGUAAGUAGACAUGUUUCACUAAAUGGGGGCAACUCUUUAAUUAAGUGAGUUGAUGGGUCGUAAUGUUUGAUAAAACGAAUAAAACACGUCACCGUUUAAUAAAUCCACUUAAACAUAUCAACCCGAACACGCACGAGUUAGAUAUUACAACCGAAAACCAAAAACACUAUCCUUCUCUAAGAUUAUAAGGACCACUUCCCUACAAGGUAUGUUUUCUUAAAAGUCAACUAUAAUU